rnacentral:lncRNA from 1 species
UCCCCAUUUUGCCCUUUCAUUCUUCUUCUUCUCCUUCAUCGGAAGAUGAUUAGUUGGAACGAUCUUUACACCGUUUUAACGGCGGUGAUCCCACUGUACGUUGCUAUGAUCUUGGCUUACGGCUCCGUCCGUUGGUGGAAAAUAUUCACCCCCGACCAGUGCUCGGGUAUCAACCGCUUUGUCGCCAUAUUUGCCGUUCCUCUCUUGUCUUUCCACUUCAUUUCCACCAAUGACCCUUAUGCCAUGAACUUCAGGUUCGUAGCAGCCGACACCCUUCAAAAGCUCAUCAUGCUCUUCGUUCUUGGAUUGUGGACUAAUUUAACAAGGAACGGAAGCCUAGAAUGGAUGAUCACCAUUUUCUCUUUAUCUACUCUCCCC